AUUGGACGCUGGCGGCAGGCCUAACACAUGCAAGUCGAACGGUAACAGGAAACAGCUUGCUGUUUCGCUGACGAGUGGCGGACGGGUGAGUAAUGUCUGGGAAACUGCCUGAUGGAGGGGGAUAACUACUGGAAACGGUAGCUAAUACCGCAUAACGUCGCAAGACCAAAGAGGGGGACCUUCGGGCCUCUUGCCAUCGGAUGUGCCCAGAUGGGAUUAGCUAGUAGGUGGGGUAACGGCUCACCUAGUCGACGAUCCCUAGCUGGUCUGAGAGGAGGACCAGCAACACUGGAACUGAGACACGGUCCAGACUCCUACGGGAGGCAGCAGUGGGGAAUAUUGCACAAGGGGCGCAAGCCUGAUGCAGCCAUGCCGCGUGUAUGAAGAAGGCAUUCGGGUUGUAAAGUACUUUCAGCGGGGAGGAAGGGAGUAAAGUUAAUACCUUUGCUCAUUGACGUUACCCGCAGAAGAAGCACCGGCUAACUCCGUGCCAGCCGCCGCCGUAA
rnacentral:rRNA from 1 species